CAGGCGUGAGCCGCCGCACACAGCCAAUAAGUUUUUAUAGAACACAGUAACUUUCAAAUUUUAGCUGCAUCAAAAUCACCUGGAGAGCUUAUUAAAGCACAUUGCUGGAUCUUAACCACCAGAGUUUUUGAAUUAUUAGGUCUGGAGAGGGCCCAAGAUUUUGUAUUUUGUAAUUUAAAAAAAAAAAUUUUUUUCAGCUUCCAAUUCUCUGGUUGAAGAUUUUGUGUUUUGAGUAACUCCCCGGGAGACGCUGAUGCUACCAGUCUGAAGACCACACUUUGGAAACCACUGCUCUAACACUUUCUCCAAGCUAAAGCUGUCUGAACAGGGCUAAGAAAAUCCUUCACAUGAAAACAGCUGAGGAGCAGAGGCUCCAGGAGAAGUUUUCCAGUGAUUGAUGGAACGUAACCUUGAAAGUCUACCUCGUCAGUUCUUGAGAUUGGGGUUCUUCAGGCUUCAUCCCGGCUUAUUUCCCUGCUGGAAAUCAGAGAUAGAAACAAAUGAAGCAUCAGGUUGAAAACAGAAGUGCAAAACAGUCACAGGAAACACAACCCAUACAUCACACCAGCAGCCGGAGGAAAGCCCCUGCCCACCAGAGAUGACCAGGCAACAAGCCCUGGCCAGGCAACUCUCACACCUUUCCCAGCUUCGUGGAUAAUUAAGAAACAGUGGUGACCUAGUACCUAGGAACUAAUCAGAACGUAGAGUAAUAACUGUUUUUCCAACCACGGAUCUUGGUAGGAGCUUCUCAGAGGUGAUCCUUGUCACCCGUCAGAAAUGGUUGCCUCUCAUUAUCAAGAAACAGAAGGAGAAACAAAACGACCAGUGAACUCACCAUCCACUCAGAUCUGGUUUCAGGAAGAAACAGGAUGCCAGUGCAGUAGCCCUGUACACUAUCACCUUAAAGGACCUCCGAAGUUGUUUCUGCUUUAUCUCUCCAUACCAACUCCCUCCUUGCUGCACACUUCAGAAUUUUGGAAAUAAGACAUAACUAGAAAAAAGGUUUUAACUAAAAUAGACUAUUUGAACACUGCAACCUCACUACGUCUUUCUGCAACAAUUCUGAAAUGGAAAUAAAAUAGUAGCUAUUACAUUUGAGAACUGAAGGCCUAUUAACUGACAAAGACUGUGUAAGGCAUAAGGUAUAGGUAUAAGUACUAGUUAUAAAUUCGUUUCCAAUAUAAUUCCACUUUACCAUAAUGUGCCUUAGAAGAUACACCUAUAGCCAGGGCAGGAGUGAGACCACUGCAUAUGAUUAUAUUACCCUUAACAUGUAGGUGAGGAGUUGGCAACUUCAAAAAAAAGUUAUGCAAACUG
rnacentral:lncRNA from 1 species